rnacentral:rRNA from 1 species
CGGCACCCCUCCUCGGAGGGAAGCGAGUGGCGAACGGCUGAGUAACACGUGGAGAACCCGCCCCCUCCUCCGGGAUAGCCUCGGGAAACCGUGGGUAAUACCGGAUGACCCCGCAGGGCCGCAUGGCCCCGCGGGCAAAGCCCAGACGGGAGGGGAUGGCUCCGCGGCCCAUCAGGUAGACGGCGGGGUGACGGCCCACCGCGCCGACGACGGGUAGCCGGGUUGAGAGACCGACCGGCCAGAUUGGGACUGAGACACGGCCCAG